CACAUGCAAGUCGAACGCACGGCCUUGAGGGUUUUCUUGGGGUUGGUGAGUGGCGAACGGGUGAGUAACACGUGAGUAACCUGCCCCCUUCUUUGGGAUAACGGUCGGAAACGGCUGCUAAUACUGGAUAUUCACACAUUGUCGCAUGGUGGUGUGUGGAAAGCUUUUGUGGUGGGGGAUGGGCUCGCGGCCUAUCAGCUUGUUGGUGGGGUGAUGGCUUACCAAGGCUUUGACGGGUAACCGGCCUGAGAGGGUGACCGGUCACAUUGGGACUGAGAUACGGCCCAGACUCCUACGGGAGGCAGCAGUGGGGAAUUUUGCACAAUGGACGCAAGUCUGAUGCAGCGACGCCGCGUGAGGGAUGGAGGCCUUC
rnacentral:rRNA from 1 species